AUAAAGAAACUAUUAGGAAGGCUUGCCAUAUAUUAAAGAGAGCUGUUUAAAUUGUGUUUUUUGAGGGGUGGCGUAAAAACCUCCCUCUAUUCAGUCAUCACAUAAACUCUUAGAGAAAUUCAGUAAUAAACGAAGUGAAUUGAAAUAUCUUAGUAACUUUAGGAAAAGAAAUCAAACGAGAUUCUGCGAUUAAUGUGAAUUAAAGCAGAAGAGCCUAGAGUAUUAAAUAAUUAUUUUUUAGGGUAGCAAUUGCAGCCCAUAAAAAUUUUAUAGCGAUGAGGAUAACUAAAUCGCUAUUAAUACUUUAAAUAAGUAAAACGGGCUAUAAACCUGUUUGAAUAUUAAGGGGAACCUUCCUCUAAGGCUAAAUAUAAUAUAUGAGCGAUAGUGAAAAGUGCCUGUGAAGGAAGCGUUUUAUUAGUAGUUUUAUAAGCAGCUCAAGCAAAGUUUAAAUACAUAGUGAGAGCGUACCUUUUGCAUAAUGGGUCAGCAAGUUAAUGUUAGAUGCGAGCAGGAAUGCCUAGAUAAACCAAUUAUGAAAUAAUGAAUUAGUAUCUAAAAUUAGACCCGAAGCCUAGUGAUCUUACCAUGAUCAGGGUUAUAAAAGCCCGAACGGGUUAUCGUUGUAAAGAUAUCCGAUGAAUUGUGGUAAGUUAGUGAAAGACAAUACUGACUAGGAUAGCUGGUUUUCUGCGAAACCUAUAUAAGUAGGUAAUUUAAAUUACAUCAUAGCAGGUACAGAACUGUGAUCUCAGGCAACUUUUAACUAGUGUAAGAAAGAAAUUUCUUAUAUUUAUUGAUUUUGCACAUAUCGGGGGAUCGUGAAGAUUUUAUCGGUGAGUAUUCGCACUCGGAAGGGCAAUGAUGAAUUUUGAAUAAUCGGACAUAGUACGAUAAGGUUGUAUGUCUAAAGGGAAACAGCCCAGAACAAGAGUUAAGGUUCCAAAAUUAUUGUUAAGUGAAAUUAAGGAAGUUUCUAUCUAAUACGACUAGGAAAUAGGCUUAGAAGCGGCCAUUUUUUGAAGACCUCGUAACAGAGCACUGGUUUAGUAUUUAGUUUACUAUUUACAUUGAUAGUGGCACCGAAAAUUUAACGGAUCUAAAUAAUAUACCGACACCUUGUCCAUAUUAAUAUAUAUAUUAUCAUAUUAUAUGGGGUAGCGGAACGUUGGGUAAAUUUUAGAUUUAAUCUUAAAUAGAUUAAUGAAUAAAUGACCCAAGUGAGAAUGCUGACAUGAGUAACGAAAAAGGGAUCAAAAUCCCUCGCCUAAAGCUUAUGGAAUUAUUAAAGUAACGGCCUCUAAGUUUAUAAAACCUAAAGGAUUAAACGAUGAGAAAAUCUUGUCUACAAAGUAACAACCUUUAUAUGACGAAAGUAAAAAUUUCGUUCUAAAGUGUAAAAGGUUCUGGAAAAACAGUAAGAUUCUUUUUAGCCAUGUGUUUUAUACGCAGGGUUAAAAAGGUGACAUAAUAACCGUACCUAAAUUCUAUCCCAAGUAAGCUAGUAGAGAAUACGAAGGCGUUUGAGUGAACAAUCAUUAAGGAACUCGGCAAACUAACUACCGUAACUUAGGGAUAAGGAGAGCCAUUCCUCCUGAUUAAUAUCAGGUAAAGAAUAGGAAGCAUGGAAUAGUGUUGUACGACUGUUUAAUUAAAACAAAGCACUUUGCCUAUAAGAUAAUAAAUCAAAGUAUUGAGUGUGAUUUCUGCCCGAUGUCGGCUGGUUAACGGAUUAGCUAAGUUGACUAAAAUAAACUUGGUGUUGAAGGAAACCCCGAUCAAUGGCGGCCUUACCCUGAGGGUCCUAAGGUAGCGGAAUACCCUGGCCGUUAAAUGCGGUCUUGCAUGAAUGAUUUAACGAUACAACAGCUGUCUCAAUGAUUGGCUCAGUGAAAUUGGAAUAGCUGUGCAGAUACAGUUUACCUCUAGUUAGACGAGAAGACCCUAUGCAGCUUUACUGUUGCUAGUUAUUGAAUAUGAUUAAACUAUUUUUAGUAGUAUAAGGUAAUUGGAUAAAAGAUGUUAUUGAAAGACCUUUAUCCUGUUUGUCGUAUUGGUAGAUAGAAUUAUUCUACUUUUUUAUCUUUAAAGAUAAGAAAUAACCCCGCUGAUUUUAAACAAAAAGGGGGACAAUGACUAGGAGGCAGUUUAUGCGGGGCACAGAUCCCAUAAAAAGUACCUGGGUGUAUCCAAAGUUAAUUUUGUAAAAUUGACAUGAAUUUACUGUAAAAAGUACUUUUCAUGCCAACUAAACACGAGCGAAAGCUUAUGUGUUUAUUUAUUUUUAGUUUGUUAUUUGGUAUAGCAUAUGCUAUAACUAAUCCAGCUAUAUAUCUAUUAAGUUAGAACUAUUUUUUUUUUCCAAGUAAGAUUUUAACUAUAUGGAAGAUAGAUGUAAUUAAAACAUUGACGUAGAUAUAGGGAGCUUUGCUCCUUAAUUCCAAUGUUUUUAGUUUUUUUAUUAGGUGUAUUAGGCUAGUCUUAAUUACAAACCGCUAAUAAAAUAAUUAUGUUUAUUACUUGUCAAGUUUAAUGGCUUAAUCUUGCUUUACUGUUUGACUUACACGUCUAUCAGUCGCGUAAGCGGGGCAUAUGAUCACAAGAUGCAGAAAGGAAAGGUCUUGGAUUUUUGAAAAAGCUACGCUAGGGAUGUUAGUCCUCCAAUGUUUAUCUCUAUUUAAGUUUGUCCCCCUUCGGAGGGAGAGACUUUUUAGAUUUAAAUCCAUUGGUAAUUUAUUGGGUUAAUUUCAAGAAU
rnacentral:rRNA from 1 species